rnacentral:rRNA from 1 species
ACGGAGGGGGCUAGCGUUGUUCGGAAUUACUGGGCGUAAAGCGCACGUAGGCGGAUUGGCAAGUUGGGGGUGAAAUCCUAGGGCUCAACCCUGGAACUGCCUCUAAAACUUCCAGUCUUGAGGUCGAGAAAGGUGAGUGGAAUUCCGAGUGUAGAGGUGAAAUUCUUAGAUAUUCGGAGGAACACCAAUGGCGAAGGCAGCUCACUGGGUCGAUACUGACGCUGAGGUGCGAAAGCGUGGGGAGCAAACAG